UUAAGUUCAGCGGGUAGUCCUACCUGAUUUGAGGUCAAGAUGUUCAUUAUACAUUGUCCGGUAAAGGACGAUUAGUAGCUGAACAAGCCGGAGAGCAAUCAUCACAGUGUAGAUAAUUAUCACACUAGUGACGGGACUGCAAACGGUUCCGCUAAUGCAUUUCAGGAGAGCCGACCUCUAUUACAGAGGCCCGCAAACUC
rnacentral:misc_RNA from 1 species